UCCCAAGGCACCUCAGCCACUUGCCCUGUACACCCUCUCUCCUGCUUGUCCUCCUGGCCUGUAAUCUCUCUCCCCGCCCCUCAGCUGAUCGGCGGGUGGGCAGGGCUUCCAGAGAGGCCUCCAUGUAGGCCUCGCUGAAGCCUGAACUCAAGUAGGUCGGCAGGCCCCAAGGAGGCAGGCAGAGUGGCCACCACAGUUCUCUGCAGCAGACCCUCUGCCCAGGUCAGCCAGACCAGCCUUUGCCAGAUGAGGAACACUUCAAAAAGAAGUGGGAGCUUCCUCCCGAUAUGGCUGCUCUGCUGGCGGUCGGAAAGAGUCUGAGGAGCAACAGUUUCCAACCACCUCUAAUGACAACUGCGACACGUACCGAGGUUGUAAUGCCACUGGGUUGUAAUGCCACUUGAAGCUAUCAACCAUUUUAAUGGAAGGCUGCUGCACAGACUCAUAAGUGUGGAUUCAGUGAAGAUCAUGAAGAAGAUCAUGAGUUAUAUGAAGAGCAUACCACAAAAGUAAUUAGAAACACCUGGAACGUGGCAACAGUUCAAACGCUUAACUAAAAUGCCCAGAUACCUAGAUUUGGCAACAAGGGAGAGACUUUUCAGUUGACUACGAAAGCAUGGAGCGAGAUCUCUGGAGCCUGGAUGAAGGAGGUGAGCCAAAGCCUCCCUUGCCCCAGCCAAGGGGGACAGUGGCUGGCCGGCAGCGGCUGGGAGUUUCUGUCUGGGACACUGCCUGCAAAAAUUGCCCAAGCAGGAAGGCAGACUGAGAGAGAUGCGUGGAGCAUCAACCCCAAGGAAGCUGAGAAUGCCGAGCAGAGAGUGGGAAGAAAUCCCUAGCGGUUGCCUGCCCUCAGGCUAUGGGAGGAUUUGUUUAAAUACCUACGUAUUAACCAUCUGCAUGCUGCUCCCUCUAAAAUGCCUCACGAACCAGUUGGCAGUAUCAAAUGAUACUCUAAAAAGCACCGGAGUGACUACUUAAGAUGUUACAUGUUAAUUAAAGUCUCAUCAAGUUUAGAAUGAACAACCUCUGGAUACUAAGGAGCCACUCUCUUCUCCAGGCUCAACAGAACUACGCUGCUGACAUGAAGCCAGGAAAAAAAAAAGAUGCCUCACAGACAAAACUGUUGACCCUUUAUGGGGAUAUUGCAUGUAUUAGAUGCCAGAUGUUUUUUUGGCCCCAGGCUCCCUUCAUGCAAAAGGCUUUGAACCAGGUUCCUAAUGUCCAGUGGUUAUUUCUAAAAAAGCAGUUCAGAUUAUAGUCCUGAAACCACUGAAGGCUAUAUUGCAAAUCUUAACAUGCCCACUUCCUGCUGGCUGUACCAAGAAUUUCCGGUGCAUUUGCAAAGCAAGUCUGGUUACAUUGGUUUCUCAUUCUUUCCCCACUCUGUCAAGACACCAAAUUGGAUGCCACUUUGAGUGCACCUGUAAAUCUCAGUAGUGGCUCUUGUAAUGCAAGCUAGUUGAGGAGGGAGGAAAGACAGACACUAGAUAAGGGGCCAGUAAGAAAUCCAAUAGACCCCAGGCCAAGGAUGAGACCUAAUAGGUGAGCAGCCGUAAUGCACUGGGACCUGGAUUCUAGGGCUCACCAAGCAUUACAUAUUAAUCUAUGGAGCUAAUCACAUGACCGGCUGAGCAAGAGAGUCGGCUGGCAGGGGAAAGGCUGUGCCGUCCUUACCUUCCCCCCAGACGAGCGAAUGUUCCCUGCUGGGAGCGCUGACUGUGCUCCCACACGACCCAGUCUUCGGAGGCCGGGAUGAUACUAUGCGGUGCAUUGGGGGAUUCCCACAGGAAUUGGGCAUUGUAGGCACUCAUCUGUGUCUUCUCAGGCACGUAGCUCAUAGAACAUAGCUCGAGGAGACACACAAUCCCGGAGGCUGGGUUAAUGGGCCAUUGGCACCAUUAACCCAGGCUAAAAAGCUGGGCUAGGUAGUGUUGACCCUAGCCUGAGGCUUCCCUAGCCUGGGUUAGGUUGUGCAUGAGAACAGCCAUGGGUUGACUGCAGCUUUCCUGUCAUCUUUAAAAGGACAAUUGCAUGUGAGAAGAUGCAGGAGAUACUCACAUGUAACUGACAGAAGCUCCCUGGAGUGUCUUUACUUCGUGCUGUGAGACAUACAAAUGUUUUUCAAGCUCUUCAGAAAACGUGGUUGUUUCAUAGAAAUGCAGGGGCCUAUCUUUGCUGUAAUGAGUGACACAUCCCUGAAAAGGGAAGAUAAGACAAACUUGGAACCCCCAGAAUGCUGCCAUUUUGCAACCUUGGCACUAGACAUGGGCCAUGAAAUGCCCUGGCAGAGCAGGAGAAAAGGAAGCUGCAGACACUGUCCAGGUUUUCUUCCCUGGUUGCGCCAGUCAUCCUUUUUUCUCACCUGCUGUGCAAGUACAUCAAGACUUCUGGUUGCCAGAGUGUAUGAGGGAUGGAGACAGACCAUAGAUCCAGGGGAACAGGCAGGACAAGCAUUUGUGCACAUUUUUAAGUCUACUUUCUAGUAGGCUUAUGAGAUCACUCGGCUGUGUGUGUGUGUGUGUGUGUGUUGUGUCCAUCCAUGUGUGUGUGUCCCCCACCCCCACCAUCAACUUUGCAACACCUGGACCAAUAUGAACUAAAUUGGGUACAGUUGUAGGGACACAUAGGGACACUUCAACAGCGUAGUUUGUGAUAAUGUCAUCCCCCUGAUCCAAGAUGGCAGAUGCGUGAACUCUUGAGGUGCAAAUGGGCUAGCUUGUGAACCGCCUAACUGAUUUGAACCAAAUUUGCUACAGCUGUAGGAACAUAGGAAGCUGCCAUAUACUGAGUCAGACCAUUGUUCUAUCUAGCUCAGUAUUGUCUUCACAGACUGGCAGUGGCUUCUCCAAGCUUGCAGGCAGAAAUCUUUCUCAGUCCUAUCUUGGAGAAGCCAGGGAGGGAACUUGGAAUCUUCUGCUCUUCCCAGAGUGGCUUCAUCCCCUGAGGGGAAUAUCUUACAGUGCUCACACAUCAAGUCUCCCAUUCAUAUGCAACCAGGGUAGACCCUGCUUAGCUAAGGGGACAAGUCAUGCUUGUUACAACAAGACCAGCUCUCUUCCUAAACCAGCUUUCCUCCUGGUGGUGUGUGGAGCGGUGUGUAAUGAUGUCAUCCACUCCCAUUCAAGGGGGCGGCCACGUGAACAUCUGAGGUGCAAGUGGGCUAAUUUGUGGACUCUCUAACCAAUUUAAACCAAAUUAGGUAUAGUUGCAGUGAGUGACACAAAGGGUCACCUCAACACUGUAAUUUGUGAUGAUGUCAUCCACCCCAAUUCAAGAUGGUGGAUGCAUAAACCUUUGAGGUGCCAAUGGGAACCGCUUAACUGAUUUGAACCAAAUGUGCUACAGCUGUAGGGACAGUGGGCUGCCCUAAUGGCAUGGUGUUUGAUGAUGUCAUCCAUUCCAAUUCAAAAUGGUGGUAGCAAGAACAUCUGAGGCGCAAGUGAGCUAAUUUGUGGACUGCCUAACCCUUUUUAACCAAAUUGGGUACAGUUGCAGUGCAUGACACACACGGGCACCUCAGUGGCAUAGUUUGUGAUGAUGAUAUCUACACCGAUUCAAGAUGGUGGACAUCUAAAUUUUUGAGGUACAAGUGGGCUAACUUGUAAACCUCUUAACCAAUUUGAACCAAAAUUGUUGCAGCUGUAGGGACACAUGAAGACACCUCAAUGGCAUAGUUUGUGAUGAUGUCAUCUACCCCAGUUCAAGAUGGCAGACACGUAAACCUUUGAGGCAAAAGUGGGCUGCCUUGUGAUUGGAACCAAAUUUGGUACAGCUGUAGGGACCAGAGGUGUAACAAGGAUGGGGCAGGCAGGGUACGUGCCCUGGGUGCCAUUGCAGGUGGCACAAAGUGCCGGCCAUGCCCUGGCCCCCACCCCAACUGCGGUCGGUGAAGAGCCCCCCCCCAGCGAUCACUUGCCGUUUAUUUCAGGCAACCUUCCACCUAGCUCAUUGGCCAACCCACCAUCAAUGCCAGUGUCGAGGCCGCCGGGAUCCCAUCCCUUCAUGCUCCAGCCCUCCUCCCUUUCACAAGCCCCUUGUGGGAAUACCCAACAGCACGGUCUUGCUAGGAGGACCUUUGACCAGUCCCGGCCAGCCCAUCAACCACAGCCACAGCCUUGGCAUCCCAGACCAACCCACCUACCCUUCUUCCUUGCCCACCAAGCCUACAUAGAGCAUCUGGUCCUUCCACCUGGUCCCCAGAGCACUACAGUCUCAGUAGACCAGGAAUUUAAUGGGGCCACGUUCAUCCCUUGGAGGAUGCCCCCGGCCGACCUGGAAGUCUCCUGGCCCAUUACUGAGGAGCAACAGCCAAUCCGGGAGCUGAUACAGCAUCUGGCUGUAAUCUGGCAGCAUCUCUAGAGUGAUGGAGGAGGAGGCUCAGUGGACAUCAGCCGGCUGAAAGCAAUCUUUCGUGGAGCGGGAGAAGGAAAUGAACACCUCCCUUCAGUAUGGCUACCCCUGGCAUCGCUGAGAGGUAAGUCUCGUCUCUUACUGGGUGUCCUCCUAAAUAGUAGUACAGAUCAAGACUCCCCUGUCACUGGAGAUGGCCUGGUGGGGAGAACUCUGGCAGGACCUGCUCCGCCCUUCCUCCUGCCACCCUGAGAGGGAAAGCUGGUAAUCUCCUUCACGGGUAAUGAUCAAAAGCCUGUGCUCUUUCACUAAUCGCUGACAGUGGGCAGGAAGAGACUCCUGGGCUUUUGGUGGUUGGACGGAUGGUGGGUUUGGGCCUGGGGUGCUCUUGCGGCAAAAAUAGCCAGCGUGGUGUGGUGGUUAGAGUGCUGGACCAGGACUGGGGAGACCCGAGUGCAAAUCCCCAUUCAGCCAUGAAACUAGCUGGGUGUCUCUGGGCCAGUCACUUCUCUCUCAGCCUCUCUCUCAGCCUAACCUACUUCACAGGGUUGUUGUAAAAGAGAAACUCAAGUAUGUAGUACACCGCUCUGGGCUCCUUGGAGGAAGAGUGGGAUAUAAAUGUAAAUAAAUACAUAAAUAGAUAAAUAAAUAAAAUAAUAUUUCUACCUGUGAGAUGGCAGAAGAGACCUUAUAUUGUGCGGGAUUCCUGUAGAUUGACAAGCUGCCUCCCAAAUCAUAGCUCUGUCAGAAGCAGCUGUUGAAAAGGGGGGUGGGGCAGUUAACCCCCUUUGUAAAAGGGGCCGUCCUUUCACUUCCUCCUUCGACUGACCCUUUAAGGGUCCAGCCUUCUUGGAUUCCAUUCUUUAUCGCAGCACCUUUUAAACGGCGAGAAGAAAAGCAGUGACCGUAAUCAAUUUUAUUAUAAGCUGUUUUCAUGAUCUCAGGGCUUCCAAAUUAACUUUCUUCAACUUCUUAUGUUUCUUUAGUCUAUUUUAUGUUAGCAAUGAAUGAAAAUAAUUCAGGUUACUCACAGUAUAUUACACUCCCCCCGCCCCCCCCCCACACACGUGCCAAAUAUGAUCACAACCUUAUAUAACUUCAUUUUUAAAAUUGGUAGAUCUUAGCAUUUUACUUGUUAUAUUCUGGUGUUCAUAACUUUUUAAAUGAUGUUGUUUUAAAAUUAGUACAGAUUGGUUUGAGGGUUCUGGUAUAGAGGUUAAGGCUAGAGUUCUGCAUCUUAGUCGAUAAUAAUAUUUCUUUCUUUUGUUUUUUCGCUUAGGUCUUUUUGCGAACAGCCAGACAAACAUCUCUUAUCUGGGAUUCUUGGAGAGCAUUUCACUCCCUAAUUUCUCCUUGGGGAGAACCCUGAAAUCCAGGGAUUUCUCCUUAGGCUAGUACUGAGAACCCAGAUUAAAGGAGAGCAUUUGCAGCAUUUUGCAAGGCCAGCAGCCCACGGUUCUUUGUCCUUCACAUUCCCAGGGAAUGAGCAGCCUCAAGUGAAAGUGGGUUCUGCCCUACUUCACCAGGUGGGGACUGCGGGGUUCCAAAAACCCUCAUGCCGGCCCCAUUUCCCACACUGGAAAACCAAACCACCAGCUGCUCAUGCUGCUGCCCCCUAGAAAGAGAAAGAGGAACCUGGCCUCUGGAUGGCGCUCACCUCUUCAGCCCAACAAUAUGUUUCGUUUGUUAGCACCACUUUGGGGUUUUUCUUGUUAAAUCCGUUGAGUUUGUUUUAUGUUGGAGACUUGUCUCCUUAGUGUUUGUGAAAUAAAUCAUUGAAUUAA